AGGCCCAGCAGGCAGGAGGUCCUGGAAGUAAAGCUCCAGAAUAAUCACUCUGAAGACAAUGCAGCAAGAAGAAGGGACCAGGACCUCCUGAGCAAAGCAGACUUUCAGACAGAUUUAAGUGACAAUUGAUGUUUUUGCCUUUCUCAUCAAUUCAUUUAUUCACUGACCCAUCCACUCAUCAGUCCAUUGAUUAGCUUUUGUGCCAGGCACUACAUUAGGUUUUGCAAGUAUUUCUUUUAACAAAAGAGCAAGUUUCCUGAGCUCACCAAAGUGAUACACUGAAUGCUUGUAUGCCUAUAUGCUUAGAGAAGCAGAUAUUAUAAACAAUGGCAGUAUAAAAUGAGAUAAAUAGCACAAACAAGCUUUACCACGUUCAUUGGGUACACAUAGCUUGGGCAAAUG
rnacentral:lncRNA from 1 species